UACGGGGGGGGGCAAGCGUUGUCCGGAAUCAUUGGGCGUAAAGAGCGUGUAGGCGGUCCGGUAAGUCCGCUGUGAAAGUCGGGGGCUCAACCCUCGAAUGCCGGUGGAUACUGUCGGGCUAGAGUGCGGAAGAGGCGAGUGGAAUUCCUGGUGUAGCGGUGAAAUGCGCAGAUAUCAGGAGGAACACCUAUUGCGAAGGCAGCUCGCUGGGACGUUACUGACGCUGAGACGCGAAAGCGUGGGGAGCAAACAGG
rnacentral:rRNA from 1 species